GCCUCCAUAGUUUAAUGGAUAGAACACAAGCUUCCGGAGCUUGUAGUAGGGGUUCGAUUCCCUUUGGGGGCGC
rnacentral:tRNA from 1 species